rnacentral:tRNA from 1 species
GCCUUGCUAGCUCAAUCGGUAGAGCGUGUGACUCUUACUCAUUGCAUCUGCAAUAUUAAAGUCAUCACAAGGUUGGGGGUUCGAGCCCCCCGUAGGGCU